rnacentral:misc_RNA from 1 species
GAUGAAGAACGUAGCGAAAUGCGAUACGUAAUGGGAAUUGCAGAAUUCAGUGAAUCAUCGAGUCUUUGAACGCACAUUGCGCCCCCUGGUAUUCCGGGGGGCAUGCCUGUCCGAGCGUCAUUGCUGCCCUCAAGCACGGCUUGUGUGUUGGGCCUCCGUCCUCCUCCCGGGGGACGGGCCCGAAAGGCAGCGGCGGCACCGCGUCCGGUCCUCGAGCGUAUGGGGCUUCGUCACCCGCUCUUGUAGGCCCGGCCGGCGCUUGCCGACACAUCAAUCUUUUUUCCAGGUUGACCUCGGAUCAGGUAGGGAUACCCGCUGAACUUAAGCAUAUCAAUAAGCGGAGGA